rnacentral:lncRNA from 1 species
UACCACUCACUGAUGAUAUUGUGAUAUCAGGAGGCCUGAUUUCGUCAAUACCAGAAGAUAAAGCAGUGGCCAUCUUAUCUGCGGCUGCAGUCGAUCUGUGGAAUGUUGUACGGCUCAAGUCCGACGUAGCGACAUUCCUCCGUCGUGCGCCCCAGACUUAUCUUACCCUGCAACAAUGAAAUCGUGAACCGUUUCCCGUCGACACAUCACCAUGACAUCACCAUGAUGAUGUCAUGUGAAGACUUAUCUUACCCUGCAACAAUGAAAUCGUUGAAUCUGUCAUCAUGCAAUUAGAAUUCACAUACUAUUGGGCCAGUACUUGUUAAUAUAUUUGGAUUGGGCAUGCCUUUGAGAAAGACUUAAUAGAGCCCAUCAAAGACUACAUGUUGACGAAGAUUCAAUGAAGACUGAUGAAGAAUGAAGGUUCGCUGGUAUAAUGUUCGUCAAAGAUGUGAAAGUGACGAAGUUUGACAUCUUCGUCACUUUGAUUGUUCGUCAGACCUGAUGUCGACAAAGAGUGAAUCUUCGUCGACUUCCUGAUAGUUUGUCGCCCAUAUGUUAAGUUCAUCGACCUGUUUGGCUAUAUAAACAGAACGCAAGGGUUUGAAGAAGGUGAUAGAGAGAAAACAGAGAGUUUAGUUGUAAUUCGUAUUGUAUGAUUCUGUA